rnacentral:rRNA from 1 species
GACGAACGCUGGCGGCGUGCUUAACACAUGCAAGUCGAACGGAGUGGCGAACGGGCGAGUAACACGUGGGUGACCUGCCCUGCACUUCGGGAUAAGCCUGGGUAACUGGGUCUAAUACCGGAUAGUGUGGGAUGGGCCCGGGGCCUAUCAGCUUGUUGGUGGGGUAAUGGCCUACCACGGCGGCGACGGGUACCCGGCCUGAGAGGGUAGACAGCCACAUGAGGACUGAGACACGGCCCAGACGCGUACGGGAGGCAACAGUGGGGAAUAUUGCACAAUGGGCGGAAGCCUGAUGAGGAGACGCCGGGUGGGGGAAGACGGCCUUCGGGUUGUAAACUCCUUUCACCAUCGACGCGGUAGAUGGAGAAGAAGCACCGGCUAACUACGUGCCAGCAGCCGCGGUAAUUC